CGCGCAGGUGGUUUCUUAAGUCUGAUGUGAAAGCCCACGGCUCAACCGUGGAGGGUCAUUGGAAACUGGGAGACUUGAGUGCAGAAGAGGAUAGUGGAAUUCCAAGUGUAGCGGUGAAAUGCGUAGAGAUUUGGAGGAACACCAGUGGCGAAGGCGACUGUCUGGUCUGUAACUGACACUGAGGCACGAAAGCGUGGGGAGGCAAACA
rnacentral:rRNA from 1 species